ACCACGCGUACCCAUCCCGAACACGACCGUUAAGCCUUCCAGCGCCGAUGGUACUUGGACCGCAGGGUCCUGGGAGAGUAGGACGUCGCCAAGC
rnacentral:rRNA from 1 species